UUUUGCUUUUCAGAACUUCUCUUGCGUAGUGGUGCACUAAGUCUAGUUUUGAUUUUCCUUCCUCUACAGCUGAAAUGCUAAAAUGCCAAAAGACCCAGUUCACAUGGGCUUAAGUAAUAAAGGAAAUACAUUAGCUUGUGUAACAGAAGUCCAGAAGAGGAUUGACUGCCUCCCCUUUCAUUUAUGUACUUAUUGAAUACUGAUCCUGAUCAGGGCAGAACAGUAUCUUGGGCAGAACACAGACUCUGGAGCCAGAAUACCUAAGUUCAAGUCCCAGCUCACCAUCUUCACCUUCACCUUCUGCUUAACCUCUGCCUGUUUUUUCCUCUGUAAAUUGGGGAAGAGAAUAAAGGUUUGAAAGAUUAA